rnacentral:rRNA from 1 species
AGAGUUUGAUCCUGGCUCAGAUUGAACGCUGGCGGCAUGCCUUACACAUGCAAGUCGAACGGCAGCACGGGAGCAAUCCUGGUGGCGAGUGGCGAACGGGUGAGUAAUGUAUCGGAACGUACCUUUCAGUGGGGGAUAACGUAGCGAAAGUUACGCUAAUACCGCAUAUUCUGUGAGCAGGAAAGCAGGGGAUCGCAAGACCUUGCGCUGAUUGAGCGGCCGAUAUCAGAUUAGCUAGUUGGUGAGGUAAAGGCUCACCAAGGCGACGAUCUGUAGCGGGUCUGAGAGGAUGAUCCGCCACACUGGAACUGAGACACGGUCCAGACUCCUACAGGAGGCAGCAGUGGGGAAUUUUGGACAAUGGGGGCAACCCUGAUCCAGCCAUGCCGCGUGAGUGAAGAAGGCCUUCGGGUUG